UACAGAGGUCUCAAGCGUUGUUCGGAUUCAUUGGGCGUAAAGGGCGCGUAGGCGGCUCGGCACGUCCGUUGUGAAAUCGCCCGGCUCAACUGGGCGGGGUCAGCGGAUACGGUCGAGCUUGAGCAAGCUAGGGGGUAAUGGAAUUCCCGGUGUAGUGGUGGAAUGCGUAGAUAUCGGGAGGAACACCAGUGGCGAAGGCGGUUACCUGGGGCUUUGCUGACGCCUGAUGCGCGAAAGCGUGGGGAGCGAGUCCGG
rnacentral:rRNA from 1 species